rnacentral:rRNA from 1 species
UACGUAGGUCCCGAGCGUUGUCCGGAUUUAUUGGGCGUAAAGCGAGCGCAGGUGGUUUAUUAAGUCUGGUGUAAAAGGCAGUGGCUUAACCAUUGUAUGCAUUGGAAACUGGUAGACUUGAGUGCAGGAGAGGAGAGUGGAAUUCCAUGUGUAGCGGUGAAAUGCGUAGAUAUAUGGAGGAACACCGGUGGCGAAGGCGGCUCUCUGGACUGUAACUGACACUGAGGCACGAAAGCGUGGGGAGCAAACAGG